AGGAAGAUCAGCUGUACCUGCCGGAGGUGAUUCAGAACUUCCAGGCAGCUCAGCUCAGGGGGCUCUGAGGCCAUCCUGGACCUCCGAUGUUACGCCCUUUGGGAAAGUGGGGAGGAACAGAAACCAGCAGUCAACAGCAUCCCUUCUCUGCUGGCCUUUGCCCGAAGGUUCCCCCAUCUCAGAGCAAGUAGCUCUCCCUCAUGGAUUCCGUCCUUUCAUCACUUCCAUCUCCCCAAGAGGCUCCCAAGGCUACUCAUCCUCUGCAGUUGAGAACAGACCUGACUGAAAAGAACGGCUUCCUCUUCUGGUGACACCAGAGAAUUCUAGAAGACAUUCACCCUUUCCAUAGCAUUAUGGAUGCACGAUUCCCACAGACAAGUUUCUUGGCAAGACAAGGGCCUUCUCUGGCCACUUGAGUGUCCUCCUCAGCAUCUCCAAAGAAGGAGCUGGGUUGCAAGAACUGCAGCAAAGGGGGGGGGGCAACCCAGGCUAAUGGGGGGGCUGUCUAGCUAGGAAAGCAAGACCCAGAGACAGUUGUGGGAGACCCAGAGACCGGCUUCCUCUGUGCCGGAGCCAAAGCUGCGAGAGAUGGAGAAGCCAGACCUGCUGGGGGUGUCAAUGCUGUGAGCCCCUCCAUCCUACACUCUGGUUGAAUUUUAUAAUGAAUGAUUUUAGAUUGUUCUGUUGUGUUGUACUGUUGUACUGUUUUAUUGUUGUUAGCCGCCCUGAGCCCGGCUUCGGCUGGGGAGGGCGGGAUAUAAAUAAAAUGUAUAGUGUUUCUGUGGAAGCGCUAGGGUGGACAUCUC